rnacentral:lncRNA from 1 species
AGAGAUUGUUUUUAAAAUCCCAAAAAGAAGAACUGGUUUUCUUCUCCAUCGGUAUUCUUUGUGUGAUCUGUUCUUCAGUUUCUUCUUUUUUUCAAAAAAUUUAGCCUUUAAGAUAUAAUUUUGAAGAGGUUAAAAAACAUCACAUAAACUAUUGCUUUGAUCCGUUUUCUUUUUAAUUUUCACAUGAUUUUUUUUAUUUUAUCAAGAAACAUG